CCUACGGGGGGCAGCAGUGGGGAAUAUUGGACAAUGGGCGCAAGCCUGAUCCAGCCAUACCGCGUGGGUGAAGAAGGCCUUCGGGUUGUAAAGCCCUUUUGUUGGGAAAGCGGUACCCAAAGAAUAAGCACCGGCUAACUUCGUGCCAGCAUCCGCGGUAAUACGAAGGGUGCAAGCGUUACUCGGAAUUACUGGGCGUAAAGCGUGCGUAGGUGGUUGUUUAAGUCUGUUGUGAAAGCCCUGGGCUCAACCUGGGAAUUGCAGUGGAUACUGGGCGACUAGAGUGUGGUAGAGGGUAGUGGAAUUCCCGGUGUAGCAGUGAAAUGCGUAGAGAUCGGGAGGAACAUCCAUGGCGAAGGCAGCUACCUGGACCAAACUGACACUGAGGCACGAAAGCGUGGGGAGCAAACAGGAUUAGAUACCCUUGUAGUC
rnacentral:rRNA from 1 species